CGUGAGGGAAAGGUGAAAAGAACCCCGGGAGGGGAGUGAAAUAGAACCUGAAACUGUGUGCUUACAAGCGGUCAGAGCUCUUCGGAGUGAUGGCGUGCCUUUUGGAGAAUGAUCCUGCGAGUUACGUUCAGUGGCGAGGUUAAGUAUAACGGAGCCGAAGGGAAACCGAGUCUGAACAGGGCGACAUAGUCGCUGGGCGUAGACGCGAAACCUGGUGAUCUAAGCCUGUCCAGGGUGAAGCUGUGGUAAGACACAGUGGAGGCCCGAACUCACCGCCGUUGAAAAGUUGGGAGAUGAGGUAGGUUUAGGGGUGAAAAGCCAAUCGAACUAGGAGAUAGCUCGUUCUCUCCGAAAUGCAUUUAGGUGCAGCCUUGAGUGUUUAAUUAUGGGGGUAGAGCACUGAAUGAACUAGGGGGCAUAUUGCUUACUGAAUUCAAUCAAACUCCGAAUACCAUAAUUCAAAGCUCAGGAGUGAGACUAUGGGAAUUAACUUCCAUUGUCAAAAGGGAAACAACCCAGACCACCAGCUAAGGUCCCUAAUUAUAACUAAGUGGGAAAGGAGGUGGAGAUUCACAAACAACCAGGAGGUUGGCUUAGAAGCAGCCAUACCUUUAAAGAGUGCGUAAUAGCUCACUGGUCGAGAGUCUCUGCGCCGACAAUGUAACGGGGCUAAGUUAUAAACCGAAGCUGUGGAAUUGCGUAAGCAAUUGGUAGGAGAGCGUUCUGUAGGCCGUUGAAGGAGAAGCGUAAGCAACUCUGGAGGUAUCAGAAGUGAGAAUGCAGGAAUAAGUAGCGAGAAAGGGGGCGAGAAUCCCCCUCGCCGGAAGACCAAGGUUUUCAGGGUAAAGCUUGUCUUCCCUGAGUAAGCCGGGACCUAAGCCGAGGCUAAAAUGCGUAGGCGAAUGGAAAACAGAUUAAUAUUUCUGUGCCAGUUAUAUUUUGUGAUGGAGGGACGCAGAAGGGUAUGUGCGCGGGAGAACGGAAGUUCCCGUAAAAGCAUGUAGAGUGGUCUAGUAGGAAAAUCCGCUAGAUUAGACUUGAGGUGUGAUAUAUAGUCGUAAGAUGAAUGCACAAAUCCCACGCUGCCGAGAAAAGCUUCUAACGUUAAGGUAUAACUGCCCGUACCCGAAACCGACACAGGUGGUCAGGAUGAGAAAUCUAAGGCGGACAGGCUAACUCUCGUUAAGGAACUCUGCAAAAUUGCCCCGUAACUUUGGGAGAAGGGGUGCCCCUGAAUGUUAGUAAUUACGCAUUAUGAAGCAUUUGGGGGUCGCAGUGAAGAGGCUCAAGCAACUGUUUAACAAAAACACAGGUCUAUGCUAAGCUGUAAGGCGAUGUAUAUGGGCUGACACCUGCCCAGUGCCGGAAGGUUAAGAGGAGGAGUGAGAGCUCCGAAUUGAAGCCCCGGUGAACGGCGGCCGUAACUAUAACGGUCCUAAGGUAGCGAAAUUCCUUGUCGGGUAAGUUCCGACCUGCACGAAUGGUGUAAUGAUUUGAGCGCUGUCUUGACGGGAGGCCUGGUGAAAUUGUACUACCGGUGAAGAUACCGGUUACCUACAGUAGGACGGAAAGACCCCAUGGAGCUUUACUGUAGCUUGGUAUUGGGUUUUGGCAUUGCAUGUAUAGGAUAGUUGGGAAACUAUGAAGAUAUGGCGCUAGCUGUAUUGGAGUUGUCGGUGGAAUACCAACCAUUCAAUGUCGAAAUUCUAAUCUGUGGUUUGUAGCCACGGAAACAGUGCUAGGUGGGCAGUUUGACUGGGGCGGUCGCCUCCGAAAGAGUAACGGAGGCGUUCAAAGGUUCUCUCAGGUUGGAUGGAAAUCAACCGCAGAGUGCAAUGGCAUAAGAGAGCUUAACUGCGAGACUGACGGGUCGAGCAGGUGCGAAAGCAGGACAUAGUGAUCCGGCGAUUCCGAAUGGAAGGGUCGUCGCUCAACGGAUAAAAGCUACCCUGGGGAUAACAGGCUGAUUUUGCCCGAGAGUCCAUAUCGACGGCAAAGUUUGGCACCUCGAUGUCGGCUCAUCGCAUCCUGGGGCUGGAGAAGGUCCCAAGGGUUGGGCUGUUCGCCCAUUAAAGCGGUACGUGAGCUGGGUUCAGAACGUCGUGAGACAGUUCGGUCCCUAUCCACUGUAGGCGUUAGAAUAUUGAGAAGAUCUGUCCUUAGUACGAGAGGACCGGGAUGGACAAACCUCUGAUGUACCAGUUGUCACGCCAGUGGCACAGCUGGGUAGUCACGUUUGGAACGGAUAACCGCUGAAAGCAUCUAAGCGGGAAACCAGCUUCAAGAUAAGUAUUCU
rnacentral:rRNA from 1 species